rnacentral:piRNA from 1 species
UCCUCGUUAAUUCUUGAACUCUUGGGUCCU